UCUUAUGUUUCUCUUUCUUACCUUGACAGACGCUAACCAACAUUAUUAGGAAGUUAGCUGAGGCUGAGAAAAAACCUAGAUGAAUUACCAGCCCAUGAUACAGUUGCCUCUAUCGGAUGUCCGGCUUAGGGAUGGUGAUGAGAAAAGGUCCCGGUACUGUCUCUAUCAUCGGGAGAUGGGACACGGCACCGGGUUUUGCACCGAGCUAUGGGAUCUGAGUGAGGAAAGGAAUCAGUCCGGAGAGUUACUGCUAUAGGGGAGAGCUGCACAGCUUGAGCAGCAGGAACAUUUUGAAGAGGUAUGGAUCGGGUCCUUGACAGUUGCUGCCUUGGGAGG
rnacentral:misc_RNA from 1 species